UACGAAGGGGGCUAGCGUUGUUCGGAAUUACUGGGCGUAAAGCGCGCGCAGGCGGCUAUCCAAGUCAGUGGUGAAAGCCCGGAGCUCAACUCCGGAACUGCCAUUGAAACUGUUUAGCUUGAGGAUGAGAGAGGUGAGUGGAAUUCACAGUGUAGAGGUGAAAUUCGUAGGUAUUGGGAAGAACACCGGUGGCGAAGGCGGCUCACUGGCUCAUUACUGACGCUCAGGCGCGAUAGCGUGGGGAUCAAACAGG
rnacentral:rRNA from 1 species